UUAAAUUGUAGAAUUAAAAAAAGAUUUGGGUAGUAUUAGAUAUGUUCUUGAAACUUAAAAAUUUUGGCGGUAUUUUAUUCUUUUUAGAGGAACUUGUUUUAUAAUCGAUAAUCCUCGUUAUAUCUUACUUAAAAAUGUUUAAUUUGUAUAUCGUUGUCAUAAGAAUAUCUUAAAAAAGUGAUAAAAAUAUUCAAAAUUAAUAAUUAUUUUUUAUGUCAGAUCAAGGUGCAGUUUAUGUUUAAGUAAAAAUGAGUUACAAUUAAUAUAGAAUUAAUAAUGAAUUUUAAUUUUAAAAUUUAAAUGAAGGUGGAUUUAAAAGUAAGUUUUAAAAUAAAAUAAAAUUGAUUAAAGUUUUAAAAUGUGC
rnacentral:rRNA from 1 species